rnacentral:rRNA from 2 species
UUAAGCGACUAAGCGUACACGGUGGAUGCCCUGGCAGUCAGAGGCGAUGAAGGACGUGCUAAUCUGCGAUAAGCGUCGGUAAGGUGAUAUGAACCGUUAUAACCGGCGAUUUCCGAAUGGGGAAACCCAGUGUGUUUCGACACACUAUCAUUAACUGAAUCCAUAGGUUAAUGAGGCGAACCGGGGGAACUGAAACAUCUAAGUACCCCGAGGAAAAGAAAUCAACCGAGAUUCCCCCAGUAGCGGCGAGCGAACGGGGAGCAGCCCAGAGCCUGAAUCAGUGUGUGUGUUAGUGGAAGCGUCUGGAAAGGCGCGCGAUACAGGGUGACAGCCCCGUACACAAAAAUGCACAUGCUGUGAGCUCGAUGAGUAGGGCGGGACACGUGGUAUCCUGUCUGAAUAUGGGGGGACCAUCCUCCAAGGCUAAAUACUCCUGACUGACCGAUAGUGAACCAGUACCGUGAGGGAAAGGCGAAAAGAACCCCGGCGAGGGGAGUGAAAAAGAACCUGAAACCGUGUACGUACAAGCAGUGGGAGCCUCUUUAUGGGGUGACUGCGUACCUUUUGUAUAAUGGGUCAGCGACUUAUAUUCUGUAGCAAGGUUAACCGAAUAGGGGAGCCGAAGGGAAACCGAGUCUUAACUGGGCGUUAAGUUGCAGGGUAUAGACCCGAAACCCGGUGAUCUAGCCAUGGGCAGGUUGAAGGUUGGGUAACACUAACUGGAGGACCGAACCGACUAAUGUUGAAAAAUUAGCGGAUGACUUGUGGCUGGGGGUGAAAGGCCAAUCAAACCGGGAGAUAGCUGGUUCUCCCCGAAAGCUAUUUAGGUAGCGCCUCGUGAAUUCAUCUCCGGGGGUAGAGCACUGUUUCGGCAAGGGGGUCAUCCCGACUUACCAACCCGAUGCAAACUGCGAAUACCGGAGAAUGUUAUCACAGGAGACACACGGCGGGUGCUAACGUCCGUCGUGAAGAGGGAAACAACCCAGACCGCCAGCUAAGGUCCCAAAGUCAUGGUUAAGUGGGAAACGAUGUGGGAAGGCCCAGACAGCCAGGAUGUUGGCUUAGAAGCAGCCAUCAUUUAAAGAAAGCGUAAUAGCUCACUGGUCGAGUCGGCCUGCGCGGAAGAUGUAACGGGGCUAAACCAUGCACCGAAGCUGCGGCAGCGACGCUUAUGCGUUGUUGGGUAGGGGAGCGUUCUGUAAGCCUGUGAAGGUGUGCUGUGAGGCAUGCUGGAGGUAUCAGAAGUGCGAAUGCUGACAUAAGUAACGAUAAAGCGGGUGAAAAGCCCGCUCGCCGGAAGACCAAGGGUUCCUGUCCAACGUUAAUCGGGGCAGGGUGAGUCGACCCCUAAGGCGAGGCCGAAAGGCGUAGUCGAUGGGAAACAGGUUAAUAUUCCUGUACUUGGUGUUACUGCGAAGGGGGGACGGAGAAGGCUAUGUUGGCCGGGCGACGGUUGUCCCGGUUUAAGCGUGUAGGCUGAUUUUCCAGGCAAAUCCGGAAAAUCAAGGCUGAGGCGUGAUGACGAGGCACUACGGUGCUGAAGCAACAAAUGCCCUGCUUCCAGGAAAAGCCUCUAAGCAUCAGGUAACAUCAAAUCGUACCCCAAACCGACACAGGUGGUCAGGUAGAGAAUACCAAGGCGCUUGAGAGAACUCGGGUGAAGGAACUAGGCAAAAUGGUGCCGUAACUUCGGGAGAAGGCACGCUGAUAUGUAGGUGAAGUCCCUCGCGGAUGGAGCUGAAAUCAGUCGAAGAUACCAGCUGGCUGCAACUGUUUAUUAAAAACACAGCACUGUGCAAACACGAAAGUGGACGUAUACGGUGUGACGCCUGCCCGGUGCCGGAAGGUUAAUUGAUGGGGUCAGCGCAAGCGAAGCUCUUGAUCGAAGCCCCGGUAAACGGCGGCCGUAACUAUAACGGUCCUAAGGUAGCGAAAUUCCUUGUCGGGUAAGUUCCGACCUGCACGAAUGGCGUAAUGAUGGCCAGGCUGUCUCCACCCGAGACUCAGUGAAAUUGAACUCGCUGUGAAGAUGCAGUGUACCCGCGGCAAGACGGAAAGACCCCGUGAACCUUUACUAUAGCUUGACACUGAACAUUGAGCCUUGAUGUGUAGGAUAGGUGGGAGGCUUUGAAGUGUGGACGCCAGUCUGCAUGGAGCCGGCCUUGAAAUACCACCCUUUAAUGUUUGAUGUUCUAACGUGGACCCGUAAUCCGGGUUGCGGACAGUGUCUGGUGGGUAGUUUGACUGGGGCGGUCUCCUCCUAAAGAGUAACGGAGGAGCACGAAGGUUGGCUAAUCCUGGUCGGACAUCAGGAGGUUAGUGCAAUGGCAUAAGCCAGCUUGACUGCGAGCGUGACGGCGCGAGCAGGUGCGAAAGCAGGUCAUAGUGAUCCGGUGGUUCUGAAUGGAAGGGCCAUCGCUCAACGGAUAAAAGGUACUCCGGGGAUAACAGGCUGAUACCGCCCAAGAGUUCAUAUCGACGGCGGUGUUUGGCACCUCGAUGUCGGCUCAUCACAUCCUGGGGCUGAAGUAGGUCCCAAGGGUAUGGCUGUUCGCCAUUUAAAGUGGUACGCGAGCUGGGUUUAGAACGUCGUGAGACAGUUCGGUCCCUAUCUGCCGUGGGCGCUGGAGAACUGAGGGGGGCUGCUCCUAGUACGAGAGGACCGGAGUGGACGCAUCACUGGUGUUCGGGUUGUCAUGCCAAUGGCACUGCCCGGUAGCUAAAUGCGGAAGAGAUAAGUGCUGAAAGCAUCUAAGCACGAAACUUGCCCCGAGAUGAGUUCUCCCUGACCCUUUAAGGGUCCUGAAGGAACGUUGAAGACGACGACGUUGAUAGGCCGGGUGUGUAAGCGCAGCGAUGCGUUGAGCUAACCGGUACUAAUGAACCGUGAGGCUUAACCUU